UGCAUGCGGCAUGCUACACAUGCAGUCGAGCGGCAUGCACAGAGCUUGCUCUUUGAUUCAGCGGCGGACGGGUGAGUAAUGCCUAGGAAUCUGCCUGGUAGUGGGGGACAACGUUUCGAAAGGAACGCUAAUACCGCAUACGUCCUACGGGAGAAAGCGGGGGAUCUUCGGACCUUGCGCUAUCGGAUGAGCCUAUGUCGGAUUAGCUAGUUGGUGAGGUAAUGGCUCACCAAGGCUACGAUCCGUAACUGGUCUGAGAGGAUGAUCAGUCACACUGGAACUGAGACACGGUCCAGACUCCUACGGGAGGCAGCAGUGGGGAAUAUUGGACAAUGGGCGAAAGCCUGAUCCAGCCAUGCCGCGUGUGUGAAGAAGGUCUUCGGAUUGUAAAGCACUUUAGGUUGGGAGGAAGGGCAGUAAGUUAAUACCUUGCUGUUUUGACGUUACCUACAGAAUAAGCACCGGCUAACUCCGUGCCAGCAGCCGCGGUAAUACGAAGGGUGCAAGCGUUAAUCGGAAUUACUGGGCGUAAAGCGCGCGUAGGUGGUUCGUUAAGUUGGAUGUGAAAUCCCCGGGCUCAACCUGGGAACUGCAUCCAAAACUGGCGAGCUAGAGUGUGGCAGAGGGUGGUGGAAUUUCCUGUGUAGCGGUGAAAUGCGUAGAUAUGCGAAGGAACACCAGUGGCGAAGGCGACCACCUGGGCUCAUACUGACACUGAGGUGCGAAAGCGUGGGGAGCAAACAGGAUUAGAUACCCUGAUAGUCCACGCCGUAAACGAUGUCAACUAGCCGUUGGGAUCCUUGAGAUUUGAGUGCCGCAGCUAACGCAUUAAGUCGACCGCCUGGGGAGUACGGCCGCAAGGUUAAAACUAAAUGAUUUGACGGAGCCCGCACAAGCGGUGCAGCAUGUGAUUUAUUCGUAUCAUCCGAAACCUUACCACCCUUGACGUCAAGAACUUCAAAAAUGAUAGUGCUCGGGACUUGAACCGUGCUGCAUGCUGUCUCACUCUUCCUGGAUGUUGGUAAGUCGUACCACCAACCUGUCCUAUUUCCUCAUUAGUUGAACUUAGGACUGCCGGCAACUGAGAAGAGGGAAGUCAGGACUUGCCUUAGCCGCUCACAUGUUCAUAGUAAGUAAAAGUG
rnacentral:rRNA from 1 species